rnacentral:rRNA from 1 species
UACGGAGGGUGCGAGCGUUGUCCGGAAUCACUGGGCGUAAAGGGCGCGUAGGCGGCUUGGUAAGCGUGCGGUGAAAGCUUGGGGCUCAACCCCGAGUCGGCCGUGCGAACUGUCAGGCUUGAGCACUGUAGAGGCAGGCGGAAUUCCGGGUGUAGCGGUGGAAUGCGUAGAGAUCCGGAAGAACACCGGUGGCGAAGGCGGCCUGCUGGGCAGUGGCUGACGCUGAGGCGCGAAAGCCAGGGGAGCAAACGGG